rnacentral:rRNA from 1 species
GAUGAACGCUAGCUACAGGCUUAACACAUGCAAGUCGAGGGGUAACGAGAGGGAAGCUUGCUUUCCUUGUCGACGACCGGCGCACGGGUGAGUAACGCGUAUCCAACCUGCCCCCAACUAGGGAAUAACCUUGCGAAAGUAAGACUAAUACCCUAUAAUUUCCUCAGAUGUCAUCUGACGAGGAAUAAAGAUUUAUCGGUUGUGGAUGGGGAUGCGUCUGAUUAGCUUGUUGGCGGGGUAACGGCACACCAAGGCAACGAUCAGUAGGUGUGCUGGGAGGAAGGUCCCCCACGUUGGAACUGAGACACGGUCCAAACUCCUACGGGAGGCAGCAGUGAGGAAUAUUGGUCAAUGGGCGGAAGCCUGAACCAGCCAAGUAGCGUGCAGGAUGACGGCCCUAUGGGUUGUAAACUGCUUUUAUACAGGAAUAAAGUUAGCCACGUGUGGUUAUUUGUAGGUACUGUAUGAAUAAGGACCGGCUAAUUCCGUGCCAGCAGCCGCAGUAA